rnacentral:rRNA from 1 species
GACGAACGCUGGCGGCGUGCUUAACACAUGCAAGUCGAGCGGUAAGGCCCUUUCGGGGUACGACGAGCGGCGAACGGGUGAGUAACACGUGGGUGACCUGCCCUCAGCUCUGGGAUAAGCCUGGGAAACCGGGUACUAAUACUGGAUAUGACUCCAUGACGCAUGUUGUGGGGUGGAAAGCCUUGUGCGGCUGAGGAUGGGCCCGCGGCCUAUCAGCUUGUUGGUGGGGUGAUGGCCUACCAAGGCGACGACGGGUAGCCGGCCU